GACGAACGCUGGCGGCGUGCUUAACACAUGCCAGUCGAACGAAGAGCGAUGGAAGCUUGCUUCUAUCAAUCUUAGUGGCGAACGGGUGAGUAACGCGUAAUCAACCUGCCCUUCAGAGGGGGACAACAGUUGGAAACGACUGCUAAUACCGCAUACGAUCUAAUCUCGGCAUCGAGGAUAGAUGAAAGGUGGCCUCUACAUGUAAGCUAUCACUGAAGGAGGGGAUUGCGUCUGAUUAGCUAGUUGGAGGGGUAACGGCCCACCAAGGCGAUGAUCAGUAGCCGGUCUGAGAGGAUGAACGGCCACAUUGGGACUGAGACACGGCCCAGACCCCUACGGGAGGCAGCAGUGGGGAAUCUUCCGAAAUGGACGAAAGUCUGACGGAGCAACGCCGCGUGAGUGAUGACGGCCUUCGGGUUGUAAAGCUCUGUUAAUCGGGACGAAAGGCCUUCUUGCGAAUAGUGAGAAGGAUUGACGGUACCGGAAUAGAAAGCCACGGCUAACUACGUG
rnacentral:rRNA from 1 species